UUAAGAGAAGUGGCAGCGAGCAAGCCAUUUAACGACGACUUGCAGUGGAUUCAUGUGAUCGAAAACUUGAAACGUGUGCUUCGCCGGGAGCUCACGCUAAGAAGCCUGAAGGACCGUGUCGAUCUUUUAAUCGGUUACUAGAGGCAAGAAGAUACAAGAAACUUAAGAAAGAAUCAGAGGCCUCCAAAGCAUGGGCUUACAGUUGUUGACUAUGCGUCAAACGCAUGAAUUCGAGCUCCGACAAAAGGAACUUGAAGUCGAAACCAGAAAAUUGGACAUUGAAGAGACACGGCUAGCUCUGGAGGAGCGCAAGCUGGCGCUUGCCGAAAGAAAGCACGAACAUGAGGUGACAAGUCGCCAGCAGGAACACCUGGACUUUGUUAAGCGUGUGGAACAGAUGUUUGAUAAACUCAGCCAAGAAGUAACAGACCUAUCAACAAGAAUGUCUGGAAAUAGGUGAAUAAUAAAAAAGUGGUUUGUUGCACA